rfam:Ipomoea nil DNA, scaffold: scaffold1525, cultivar: Tokyo-kokei standard.
GUUUUUUUAGCCAAGUGGUUAGGGCGUGUGCCUGCUAAGUACAUGUGGUUUUCCCAACGAGAGUCCAAAUCUCUCAAGCAACG